UGGGGAAUAUUGCACAAUGGGCGCAAGCCUGAUGCAGCCAUGCCGCGUGUAUGAAGAAGGCCUUCGGGUUGUAAAGUACUUUCAGCGGGGAGGAAGGGAGUAAAGUUAAUACCUUUGCUCAUUGACGUUACCCGCAGAAGAAGCACCGGCUAACUCCGUGCCAGCAGCCGCGGUAAUACGGAGGGUGCAAGCGUUAAUCGGAAUUACUGGGCGUAAAGCGCACGCAGGCGGUUGAUUGAGUCAGAUGUGAAAUCCCCGGGCUUAACCCGGGAAUUGCAUCUGAUACUGGUCAGCUAGAGUCUUGUAGAGGGGGGUAGAAUUCCAUGUGUAGCGGUGAAAUGCGUAGAGAUGUGGAGGAAUACCGGUGGCGAAGGCGGCCCCCUGGAAAAAGACUGACGCUCAGGUGCGAAAGCGUGGGGAGCAAACAGG
rnacentral:rRNA from 1 species